AUAGCGUAUAUUAAAGUUGUUGCAGUUAAAAAGCUCGUAGUUGAACCUUGGAGCUGGUCGACCGGUCCGCCUCACCGCGUGCACUGAUGCGGCCGGAUCUUUCCUUCUGGCUAGCCUCAUGCUCUUCAUUGGGUGUGUUGGGGAUCCAGGACUUUUACUUUGAAAAAAUUAGAGUGUUCAAAGCAGGCCUAUGCUCGAAUACAUUAGCAUGGAAUAAUAGAAUAGGACGGCGGUUCUAUUUUGUUGGUUUCUAGAGCCACCGUAAUGAUUAAUAGGGAUAGUCGGGGGCAUCAGUAUUCAAUUGUCAGAGGUGAAAUUCUUGGAUUUACGGAAGACUAACUUCUG
rnacentral:rRNA from 1 species